GAUAACUGUUCAGAUAAGUGGUAGGAAUGAAGGAGUAACGCCCCGAAACUACCCCAGUGAGAUUCCCAACUGCAUACACUAGGCAUAGCGUGAUGUGGAGAGCAGAGUAAAAUAUACGGUCACGGUUCGUAGUGCACAACUGUGUAACCGAAAGCCAACAGGAGUAAUAAACCGGUUGGAACUAAC
rfam:Bacillus anthracis str. &apos;Ames Ancestor&apos; plasmid pXO1, complete sequence.